rnacentral:rRNA from 1 species
UACAGAGGGUGCGAGCGUUGUUCGGAAUUAUUGGGCGUAAAGGGUGCGUAGGCGGCCUGACAAGUCUGAUGUGAAAUCCCUGGGCUCAACCCAGGGCCCGCAUCGGAAACUGUCGGGCUUGAGUAUGGGAGAGGUGAGUGGAAUUUCCGGUGUAGCGGUGAAAUGCGUAGAUAUCGGAAGGAACACCUGUGGCGAAAGCGGCUCACUGGACCAUUACUGACGCUGAGGCACGAAAGCUAGGGGAGCAAACAGG